GGCGAACGCUGGCGGCGUGCUUAACACAUGCAAGUCGAACGAUGAAGAAGAGAAACGCGAACUUCGGUUCAAAUUUCACUUCGGAUUAGUGGCAGACGGGUGAGUAACGCGUGAGCAACCUACCUCUUACAAAGGGAUAGCCUCGGGAAACCGUGAUUAAUACCAUAUGACACAUUCACAAGGCAUCUUAAGAAUGUUAAAGCUACGGCGGUAAGAGAUGGGCUCGCGUCCCAUUAGCUAGUUGGUGAGGUAACGGCCCACCAAGGCGACGAUGGGUAACCGGCCUGAGAGGGUGAACGGUCACAUUGGAACUGAGACACGGUCCAAACUCCUACGGGAGGCAGCAGUGGGGAAUAUUGCACAAUGGAGGGAACUCUGAUGCAGCGACGCCGCGUGAGCGAUGAAGGAAUUCGUUUCGUAAAGCUCUGUUCUAUGGGAAGAAAAGGACUGUACCAUAGGAGAAAGCCCCGGCUAAAUACGUG
rnacentral:rRNA from 1 species